AGGUCCCAAAGUAUGAGCUAAGUGCGAUUGAAGGUGGUCGCAAGCCCUAAACAGCCGGGAGGUGAGCUUAGAAGCAGCUACCCUCUAAGAAUAGCGUAACAGCUUACCGGCCGAGGUUUGCGGCGCCGAAAAUGAUCGGGGCUCAAGUUCAUCACCGAGACCUAGCGGCACUCUUGACCGAGUGAUCCAGUAGGUUGGCAUUCUGAAUGGGUGGAAGUACGGGCGAGAAUUCGUAUGGACCGUUCAGUAUAGAAAAUCCUGGCCAUAGUAGCAGCGUUAGUCGGGUGUGAACCCCGACGACCUAACGAGUAAGGGUUCCUCAGCAAUGCUUAUCAGCUGAGGGUUAGCCGAUCCUAAGUCCCAUCGUAAUUCGAGUGGGACAACAGGGAAACUGGUUAAUAUUCCAGUGCUAACACCAUUCAAAGCCGACGCCUCAGGAAACAUCGAACCGGGUUUUCGCCCGGUCGAAUCAUCAAAAUCCGUGGAAGCCGUAAUGGCAGGAAGCGGAUGAAUGUUGAGAUAGCGCAAGUCGAUGGUACCCGGGGCCCGUGAAAAGGUGAGUGUGUUAAUCGUACCGAGAUCCGACACAGGUACUCUGGCGGUGAAAGCCAAGGUCUGUCGGGAUCAACCGACGUUAGGGAAUUCGGCAAGUUAGUCCCGUAAGUUCGCGAUAAGGGAUGCCUGCCUUGUAUAAAGGCAGGCCGCAGUGACUCGGACGCUCCAACUGUCUAGUAACAACAUAGGUGACCGCAAAUCCGUAAGGACUCGUACGGUCACUGAAUCCUGCCCAGUGCGGGUAUCUGAACACCCAGUACAAUGGGACGAAGGACCCGUUAACGGCGGGGGUAACUAUGACCCUCUUAAGGUAGCGUAGUACCUUGCCGCUUCAGUAGCGGCUUGCAUGAAUGGAUCAAUGAGAGCGUCACUGUCCCAACGUUGGGCCCGGUGAACUGUACGUUCCAGUGCGGAGUCUGGAGACCCCCAAGGGGAAGCGAAGACCCUAUAGAGCUUUACUGCAGGCUGUCGCUGAGACACGGUCGCUACUGUGCAGCAUAGGUAGGAGCCGCUACACAGGUACCCGCGCUAGCGGGCCACCGAGGCAUUAGUGAAAUACUACCCGGUAGUGACUGUGACUCUCACUCCUGGCGGAGGACACCGGUAGCCAGGCAGUUUGACUGGGGCGGUACGCGCUCGAAAAGAUAUCGAGCGCGCCCCAAGAUUUCCUCACCCGAGUCGGAGACUCGGAGAAGAGCGCAAGAGCAUAAGGAAGUCUGACAGUGUCCUACACAACGAGGGACGCUGACGCGAAAGCGUGGUCUAGCGAACCAAUGAGCCUGCUUGAUGCGGGCCAUUGAUGACAGAAAAGCUACCUUAGGGAUAACAGAGUCGUCACCGGCAAGAGCACAUAUCGACCCGGUGGCUUGCUACCUCGAUGUCGGUUCCCUCCAUCCUGCCCGUGCAGAAGCGGGCAAGGGUGAGGUUGUUCGCCUAUUAAAGGAGGUCGUGAGCUGGGUUUAGACCGUCGUGAGACAGGUCGGCUGCUAUCUAUUGGGGGUGUUACGGUAUCUGACGGGAACGUUCGUAUAGUACGAGAGGAACUACGAAUGGGUGCCACUGGUGUACCAGUCGUUCGAAAGAGCGCGUGCUGGGCAGCCACGCACCACGGGGUAAGAGCUGAACGCAUCUAAGCUCGAAACCCACCUGGAAAAGAGAUACCACCGAGACCACUCGUAGAAGACGAGUUCGAUAGACUCGGGAUGUACGCGCCGAGGCAACGAGGCGUUCAGUCCGCGAGCACUAACAGGUCAAUGCCACACAAUC
rfam:Haladaptatus litoreus strain CGMCC 1.7737 genome assembly, contig: Ga0104463_101